rnacentral:lncRNA from 1 species
GUUGCUUUGGUGGUUGAUCUUUUUGGGACUGACGCAUUUGAUGUUGCUAGAGAAUUUAACGUCUCGCCGUACAUAUUUUUCCCUUCAACAGCCAUGGCCUUGUCUCUGUUUUUUCACCUGCCAAAGCUUGAUCAAAUGGUUUCAUGUGAGUACAGGGACCUGCCAGAACCGGUGACAAUACCAGGUUGCAUACCAAUUCACGGGAAAGAAUUGCUGGACCCAGUUCAAGACAGGAAAAACGAUGCUUACAAGUGGCUU